GGUUAAGCGACUAAGCGUACACGGUGGAUGCCCUGGCAGUCAGAGGCGAUGAAGGACGUGCUAAUCUGCGAUAAGCGUCGGUAAGGUGAUAUGAACCGUUAUAACCGGCGAUUUCCGAAUGGGGAAACCCAGUGUGAUUCGUCACACUAUCAUU
rnacentral:rRNA from 1 species